AUUGAACGCUGGCGGCAUGCCUAACACAUGCAAGUCGAACGAGUUGCGGACGGGUGAGUAAUGUCUGGGAAACUGCCUGAUGGAUGGGGAUAACUACUUGAAACGUUAUCUAAUACCGCAUCCCAUCAGUUUUUCCCUUAUGGGAUUAGCUUGUUGGUGGGGUAACGGCUCACAAAGGCGACGCUCCCUAGCUGGUCUGAGAGGAUGACCAGCCACACUGGAACUGAGACACGGGCCAGACUCCUACGGGAGGCAGCAGUGGGGAAUAUUGCACAAUGGGCGCAAGCCUGAUGCAGCCAUGCCGCGUGUAUGAAGAAGGACUUCGGGUUGUAAAGUACUUUCAGCGGGGAGGCGUGACCCGCAGAAGAAGCACCGGCUAAAUCCGUGCCAGCAGCGGCGGUAAUUC
rnacentral:rRNA from 1 species